rnacentral:tRNA from 1 species
AAAUUGAGUUUUUUAUUAAUCAUAAAAAAAAAUUUAAAAGGUCGUCAAGACAAAUUUUUUUGGU